rnacentral:miRNA from 2 species
CCUAGUAGGUGCUCAGUAAGUGU